AUGGAAGCACUCAGUAAGGUGAUCUUGCUUUUCCUGGUGACCCUGAGGAAAUCAGAGAAUGAAAUCCAGGCUGAGGAGGCCGGAGGUGUAUUCUGCAGGCUGUUUCUGUCUCCAGAUGCCUUUGUUGAUGGACAGCUGCGGAUCUUCUCCUCCACACUUGUCUCUCUAGGCACAGCCGACCCAAGCUCCUAGCAUCGACUGUGCUUUCCCCGAAUGCACCCUCUGGGGUGAGAGGCAAAGUAUUCGGAGUCCAAAGAGCUCCUGCCCACCUCGUAAGCAUAAGAGCAUGGAUCUGCAGCAGGACUUUGACGUCAAGAGAAGUGGCCUGGCGAAGGCAGUUGUGAGACCAUAGAAAUAGG
rnacentral:lncRNA from 1 species